rnacentral:rRNA from 1 species
GGGCCUGGCGGCUGCCUUACACAUGCAGUCGAACGGCAGCACGGGGGCAACCCUGGUGGCGAGUGGCGAACGGGUGAGUAAUACAUCGGAACGUGUCCUGUAGUGGGGGAUAGCCCGGCGAAAGCCGGAUUAAUACCGCAUACGCUCUACGGAGGAAAGGGGGGGAUCUUAGGACCUCCCGCUACAGGGGCGGCCGAUGGCAGAUUAGCUAGUUGGUGGGGUAAAGGCCUACCAAGGCGACGAUCUGUAGCUGGUCUGAGAGGACGACCAGCCACACUGGGACUGAGACACGGCCCAGACUCCUACGGGAGGCAGCAGUGGGGAAUUUUGGACAAUGGGGGCAACCCUGAUCCAGCAAUGCCGCGUGUGUGAAGAAGGCCUUCGGGUUGUAAAGCACUUUUGUCCGGAAAGAAAACGCCGUGGUUAAUACCCGUGGCGGAUGACGGUACCGGAAGAAUAAGCACCGGCUAACUACGUGCCAGCAGCCGCGGUAAUACGUAGGGUGCAAGCGUUAAUCGGAAUUACUGGGCGUAAAGCGUGCGCAGGCGGUCCGCUAAGACAGAUGUGAAAUCCCCGGGCUUAACCUGGGAACUGCAUUUGUGACUGGCGGGCUAGAGUAUGGCAGAGGGGGGUAGAAUUCCACGUGUAGCAGUGAAAUGCGUAGAGAUGUGGAGGAAUACCGAUGGCGAAGGCAGCCCCCUGGGCCAAUACUGACGCUCAUGCACGAAAGCGUGAGGAGCAAACAGGAUUAGAUACCCUGGUAGUCCACGCCCUAAACGAUGUCAACUAGUUGUCGGGUCUUCAUUGACUUGGUAACGUAGCUAACGCGUGAAGUUGACCGCCUGGGGAGUACGGUCGCAAGAUUAAAACUCAAAGGAAUUGACGGGGACCCGCACAAGCGGUGGAUGAUGUGGAUUAAUUCGAUGCAACGCGAAAAACCUUACCUACCCUUGACAUGUAUGGAAUCCUGCUGAGAGGUGGGAGUGCCCGAAAGGGAGCCAUAACACAGUGCUGCAUGGCUGUCGUCAGCUCGUGUCGUGAGAAUGUUGGGGUUAAGUCCCCGCAACGAGCGCAACCCUUGUCCUAGUUGCUACGUCAGAGCACUCUAGGAGACUGCCGGUGACAAACCCGGAAGGAAAGGUGGGGAAUGACGUUCAGUCCUUCAUG